CGGCGGGGGUACCCGCUGCUCGGCUGCCGGCAGCUGGGAAAGCAGCAGCGGUCCUGCCGCCCCGGGAGCUUUGGCGGACUCGGAGCAAGUAAGAGCGCACCAGGAGGUUUCAGAGCCCAGCAGUGUAAGCACCAGCGUGUGCAGAGGUAGGCCGUGGCUCCAGGCGCCUCAGCAGACUCCGUGAGGAGCACGGCUCGCUGCUCUGAGGUACUGCCACAGGCAUUUCAGCACUAGAUGAACCGUGGACUCUCGCUAAUCAAGAAAUCCUUAAUCGCCUAGAAGCAAUUAAAUAACUAAAGCCACCUACAGCAAAUACUUAUAUUUACUCAACAUCAAAGGCAGAACAACACAAAGUGUGGAGUCUUAGAGUGGGGGGGAGAAACGGUUGAUCCUGCAAAACUAGGAGAGUGAGGAGGAUUUGCAACUGCAUGGUGUGGUGAGGUCUGCUCACCUGGAUUCCAGAGGUGCACAACAACAAGACAAGCAGUGCUGGGUCUGAUGCCAGAUGUCAUUCUGCAAAGGAGGUUCCCACCUGAAUCAGCUUUAGGAGUUCACACAAAAAGUGUUUACACUGGGACACGUUCUCUGGCUGCUGUGAGGUACAGCAACUCUCUCUGAUUCCACUGGGA